CCUACGGGAGACAGCAGUGAGGAAUAUUGGGCAAUGGGGGCAACCCUGACCCAGCCAUGCCGCGUGAGUGAAGAAGGUCUUCGGAUUGUAAAGCUCUUUCGGACGUGACGAUGAUGACGGUAGCGUCUAAAGAAGCACCGGCAAACUUCGUGCCAGCAGCCGCGGUAAUACGGAGGGUGCGAGCGUUGUUCGGAAUUACUGGGCGUAAAGGGAGUGUAGGCGGCAAUGUAAGAUUGCGGUGAAAUGCCGGGGCUCAACCCCGGAACUGCCAUGAUAACUGUGUAUCUGGAGUGCUGGAGAGGUAAGUGGAAGUGAUAGGGUAGCGGGGAAAUGCGUAGAUAUUAGGAGGAACGCCAGGGGAGAAGGCGACUUACUGGACUGUAACUGACGUUGAGGCACGAAAGGGUGGGGAGCAAACAGGAGUAGAUACCCCGGUAGUC
rnacentral:rRNA from 1 species